UGCCACAGCCAUGUCACCCUGCAGCCACUCACUAAAGCUAAGCAGGGCUGAGCCUGGUUAGUACCUUGAUGGGACGCUACAUGGGAAAACUAGGUUGCUGUUGGAA
rnacentral:rRNA from 1 species